AAGAAGAAGCACCCUGGGGUGAAAUUGGAAAGGACAAAGGAACAUUUAUUGUUCACUGGAUCAAGACAUAUGAAGAUUUAGAGUUAGCUACUGAGAUUGGCGGGGAGCCAAUCGUUUUGAAGUUGAACAAAUUUUGGAAAUUUGGUCUGAAA
ensembl:ncRNA F25H8.14 ncRNA